rnacentral:misc_RNA from 1 species
AACGCACGAGACCUGCGGACCUGCGGAAGGAUCAUUAAAGAGUUUAACUACUCAAACCAUUGUGAACCUUACCUCAACCGUUGCUUCGGCGGGCGGGCCCGGGCCAAGCCCGGCGCCCCCCCGGCCCCUCGCGGGCGCCCGCCGGAGGUUAACCGAACCCUUGAAUUGUAUGGCCUCUCUGAGUCUUCUGUACUGAAUAAGUCAAAACUUUUAACAAUGGAUCUCUAGAUCGGAAGAGCA